GGCAGAACAACAACUAGUGGACUGUGCGCAGGCUUUCAACAAUCAUGGAUGCAAUGGGGGUCUCCCAAGCCAAGCUUUUGAGUAUAUAAUGUAUAAUAAUGGAAUUAUGGGAGAAGACACGUAUCCUUAUGAAGGAAAGGAUGGCACUUGCAGAUUCAAGGGAGACAAGGCCAUUGCUUUUGUCAAAGAUGUGGUCAACAUAACAAUUG